rnacentral:rRNA from 1 species
GGGGAAUAUUGGACAAUGGGCGAAAGCCUGAUCCAGCCACGCCGCGUGAGUGAUGAAGGCCUUCGGGUCGUAAAGCUCUGUGGGGAGGGACGAACCGCUGGGUGUGCAUAGCACUCAGCAUGACGGUACCUCCUUAGCAAGCACCGGCUAACUUCGUGCCAGCAGCCGCGGUAAUACGAAGGGUGCAAACGUUGCUCGGAAUCAUUGGGCGUAAAGCGCACGUAGGCGGCUUGGCAAGUCGGAUGUGAAAGCCCUCGGCUCAACCAAGGAAGUGCAUCCGAAACUGCCGAGCUUGAGUACUUAAGAGGAUCGCGGAAUUCCCGGUGUAGAGGUGAAAUUCGUAGAUAUCGGGAGGAACACCAGUGGCGAAGGCGGCGAUCUGGGAAGAUACUGACGCUGAGGUGCGAAAGCGUGGGGAGCAAAC